rnacentral:lncRNA from 1 species
GGGGCCAGGGCCACUGCCAGGAGAUGGGGAAAAGGUGGCAUUGGCAAUUUUAGGCUGCCUUUACUAAUGUCUUCAAUGCCUCUUUCUGUGAUAUGAAGAUAAAACCAGGAUAUUACACCUUCAUACUUCACAAAAUCUUCUAAGACUAAAUGAAAUGGAGAUUGUAUUUCAUCUCUUCAUCUUAUUUCAACAUCCUCUACAAGCCUAUUUCCCAGCCUGUGGAAUAAGCAAGAUAAGAUGACAGUUCCCUCUGGAGUGUAUCAAAACAUGCCAUAGCAAUAAAAACCAUGAUAGCAGAUAUUAAAGUUUCUGACCCCAGUUGUGGAUUCUCAGCUUCUUAGCCACUGGAGAAUGGCCUUGAGCCUGGCCUCACUAUCUCUCUUUCUCUAGUCAGUGUACAUGGUGUUUCACAAACACUAUGAAACUAAGAAAUCUUUUUUUCAGAAUUGAGUUCUAGGGAUGAUUUAAAUCUUUUAACCCAAUGGCAAAUUCCUCCAACCUGCAGGGUUAAUCAACCAUUCAGUCAAUCAACUUUUGAAGACCUGAAGGAAAAUGUUACAGAGGUCUACCUAAGACACAUGGGGGGUCACAUUAAAGGGAUAAAAAUGUGUUGUUACUUAAAAGAUGUUACAACUGAAUUAUGGAAAUAAAUGAUACAUGUAAUUGGAAUAGAUAUGACCAAAUUAAAAAUAAACUGACUGUUGAC